rnacentral:rRNA from 1 species
AGCCAGGUGGUCCACGCUUGGUUAUUUCUGCUCAAUGGUAAGCUAAAUAGCCGCAGUACCCUGACUGUGCAAAGGUAGCAUAAUCAUUUGGCUUAUAAUUGAAGUCUGGCAUGAAGGAAAUCAUGGGUAGCAACUGUCUUCUAUAAAUUGGUAGAAUUUACUAAAUAGGUGAAAAUACCUAUAAAUUAAUAAUAGACGAGAAGACCCUAGAAAUUUUAAUAUAAAAGUAUUUUUAAUUUACCAUUUUGUUGGGGCGACAGAAUAACAGUUGAACUUAUUUUAAUAUAUUUGUACUAAUUUUUGAGUAAAAUUAAAUUACUCUAGGGAUAACAGCAUAAUUUACUUAAAGUUUGUGACCUCGAUGUUGGACUAGGGUUUUUAAUAGUCAGAAGUUAUUAAACUAGGCUCUGUUCGAGCUUUAUUCCCU